rnacentral:rRNA from 1 species
CCCUGGUAGUCCACGCCGUAAACGAUGUCGACUUGGAGGUUGUGCCCUUGAGGCGUGGCUUCCGGAGCUAACGCGUUAAGUCGACCGCCUGGGGAGUACGGCCGCAAGGUUAAAACUCAAAUGAAUUGACGGGGGCCCGCACAAGCGGUGGAGCAUGUGGUUUAAUUCGAUGCAACGCGAAGAACCUUACCUACUCUUGACAUCCAGAGAACUUUCCAGAGAUGGAUUGGUGCCUUCGGGAACUCUGAGACAGGUGCUGCAUGGCUGUCGUCAGCUCGUGUUGUGAAAUGUUGGGUUAAGUCCCGCAACGAGCGCAACCCUUAUCCUUUGUUGCCAGCGGUUAGGCCGGGAACUCAAAGGAGACUGCCAGUGAUAAACUGGAGGAAGGUGGGGAUGACGUCAAGUCAUCAUGGCCCUUACGAGUAGGGCUACACACGUGCUACAAUGGCGCAUACAAAGAGAAGCGACCUCGCGAGAGCAAGCGGACCUCAUAAAGUGCGUCGUAGUCCGGAUUGGAGUCUGCAACUCGACUCCAUGAAGUCGGAAUCGCUAGUAAUCGUGGAUCAGAAUGCCACGGUGAAUACGUUCCCGGGCCUUGUACACACCGCCCGUCACACCAUGGGAGUGGGUUGCAAAAGAAGUAGGUAGCUUAACCUUCGGGAGGGCGCUUACCACUUUGUGAUUCAUGACUGGGGUGAAGU